rnacentral:lncRNA from 1 species
GUGGGUUUAGAAAGUGGACAGGAGUUGUACUUGGGAAAACAGCCCACGAGAAAUAGCGCGAGGGAGCCACUGCCUCCUUUGGGAAUGUAAGCGUCCACCGCCGGGGUUUCCACCCGGGACAGCGAAGGGGCUGGGCAGAGUAGGGGCUAUGGGGUCCGAGUGGGAAGAGGGGAGGGCAGAGGGCUUGAUCCCUGCGGUGACGCGGGGCAGCCAGGCAUUAGCUCCAGGGGCUUCGACAGCCCCCGCCCCCCCCGGGAGGGGGCGUGGCGUGGCCCGAAGGAGUGGGGCGAGGCCUGCGACUCGGGGGCGUGGUCCCGGGGUGCGGCCUCGUGAGGGCGUGUCCUCCGGGACGGACGGGGCGUGUCCUCCGCGGCGGGGGCUGACCUAUGGGGCUGGCGGGGAGUGUCCUCUGCGGCUGGGCGUGGUCCCUGGGGCUGACGGGGCGUAUCCUCCGAGGCGGGGCGUGUCCUCCGUGGCGGGGCGUGGCGGGCGUCCCGGGGCGUCCGGCGCUGAGCCCGGCGGCGCGGUCUUGCGCACUCCGUCCGUUGCGCUCCCGUACGGAUCCGCUGUCGCCGCCGCCUCUCGGAGCCACCGGAGGACGGAGCUGCCGGAAAGGGCCGGUGCCAGGGCGCGCGGCCGGCCGACGCGCAGCUGAAGAUGAGCACACCCUCCACUCCCCACUGACUGGCUGCCAUGGCGUUCACAGGAAGACUCAACAGCAGCGGCAGCAGCGGUGGCGGCAGGAAUCAAGAGAUCUCAGCCUACUGCCAGCCCUAAGCAGUGGUUUCUAAACUUCAGGGCACGCGGGAAUCACCUGAGCGCUAAGUGAAACCCGGCUCUACCCCACAGUUUCUAAUUCUGCAGGCUUGGGUGGGGCCUGAGAGUUUGCAAAAGAAUGAAGGAGAGGAGCAGCAGGGAAGUAAACAAAACAUCAGAAGGACAAUACGAAGACCAACCAUACCAAUAUGUAUUUAAAAUAAACCCUAAACAUUCCAGUUACAAGCUGUGAUCACCAG